GACGAGGGGUCCUAGCGUUGUUCGGAAUCACUGGGCGUAAAGCGUAUGUAGGCGGGCUUUUAAGUCAGGUGUGAAAUCCCAUGGCUCAACCAUGGAAUUGCAUUUGAAACUGGAAGUCUUGAAUGUGAGAGAGAUUGGUAGAAUACCUGGUGUAGUGGUGAAAUACGUAGAUAUCAGGUGGAAUACCGGUGGCGAAGGCGGCCAAUUGGCCCAACAUUGACGCUGAGAUACGAAAGCGUGGGGAUCAAACAGG
rnacentral:rRNA from 1 species